rnacentral:misc_RNA from 1 species
CCGAAUCGUCAACAAGAGUUGUUGCUGGUCUCCAUGUAUGGGGGCAUGUGCGCGCUCUGUUUACACAUCCACUUACACCUGUGCACCCUCUGUAGUUCUGUGGCUUGUGGGGCUCCGCCCUCCUGCUGUGGUUCUACGCCUUUACACACACACACACUGUAAUAAAGUCUCAUGGAAUGUAUGUCGCGUUUAACGCAAUGAAAUA